UCGUGAGCUUCUGGGUCAGUGAAACCAUAACACGGUUCGAUGCCGCUGUUUUCAUCCUUGAUUCGAGAUUCGGAUACUUCGGGAGAUAAAGAAUUCUUCACGGCUAUCCACCGACCGAUCACCGAGGGGAAUACUGAAGAAAUACGGGAGAAAAGCGUCGAACGCGUUGAAGAAGUUGCAAGGAAAGUAAUAGAAAUCCGGCUUAUGCCCGGGGAACGUAAACGCAGCCAUGGUACUGUAAUAAAACAGUACCGUAACGUAACGAAGGGAAAUGGGAUCGGCACAACGGUAUCUUAAUAUUGAUUACCAUCAGCGAAUCAAUAUCACGUAUUCCAAGUAUCAUUGCAUCAUUCAUAGAUGCACAGUUGUACACUGACGACAAAAUCCUCCGAAUUUUACCACGUGGUCCCCGGAGUACCAAGGGUUAAUAUCGUCUAAACCCGUUACCGGAAUUGCCAGGAAUUACCAUUACCAAAUCCCAAGCACGUGAACCACUCCCGGAACGCCGCCAUAAGAUCUUGGAAACGUCCCGAAGAAAUCCAUUGACGCCGAGUCGGAUUCGCCGUUUACGUCGGAACGAUCAGCCUCUCGGCUCCGACCCAUUGAAUAAAUAAAAGAGAGAAAGGAGGCCCCCACGAAGAUCCACCGCAAUCGCCGAGCUUCAAACACUCCGUUCCACUCGGCGUUCCGAGGGUUGCCCCGUACAAAGGGAAUCGCGUCUCACAAAGGGGCCAUUCCGGAUCGACGUCGGCUGGACGAAACAUUAACGCGUGUCCCGUGUGUCGUCGAUAAUUUCAAUUCCGUAAACUAGUCUCCUGGCAAGUGUUCCAGCGACCGGAUGCCGUCCGAAAAGGCUCGUUUCGGACUGUCUUCUGAGCCGCCAUUUUGCAUCGAAGGACCAAGAGCGCCACUCGAAUCUACGCUCUACGUAUGAAUCAUUUGUCUACGAGUUCUUCGUCGCUUAAAUUUAAAUGGGACACCCUGUACGCAUCUGUACGAGCAGAAACGCUAAAAGUGCCAUAAGCCCGCGGGACAAAGGGUCCCAUUUUCAAUUUUCAAUCGAUGCAUUAAGGACGCAGACCGACGAUCCAGCCGGGUAAUGGCUUUUCGCAUAAUCAAAAGCCGGAAUACGUCGAAUAAUCCCGUUUUCGCGUUACGCCACCGCCCACUCCCCAUCCCGAUCGCCAUCACGAGCCCACGCUGUCACUGGGUUCCUUGAAAUAUUCACUCGACGUCGGAAGUCGCGCGCUGAUCGCAGAUUUCCCGUUUACCUAUAAAGGGAAAAUAAAUAAUAAACGGCGGCGUUUUCUUAUCUGGCCCCGGAUAACGAAAUUUGUCCGGGUAUGCAUAAUACAUACGGAAAUGGCAUCGAACGAGCUGGCUAGGCUGCGCGCUGACUUCUUGUCUAUAAUGGAAUCUGCGCGGGGCCCCGGCCAAUUUCUGAGGAUGGUAUAAAGCAAAGAAAACCGGCGGGCAACAUAUAACGGGGCAAGUCAUUCAAUUUACAGGAUCCCUACACCCCUCCGCACCCUUUCCGUUUCCAACUCAUCUCGUUCCAGCCUCGGCGGCUCCGAAACUGAACUGAAGAUGAGCCAAACUCAUACCAGCUCUUGGCUAACCACGGGGUGGUCCAGGCUACACCCCGCAGCGAUGGCUACGAGCUACACGUGCCGCGUGUUCUCGCGUUGCGAAACGGUAUAUCGAGCUUACUCCCGAUGGUGUAUACGUACCGAUCUCGAUUUCCUGGGAUCGACUAGGUUUUCGGCUAGGUGCCACGAUAACAAGGUUUUUCACCGAGCUUUCCUCCCGCGAUGGGACGAUGGAGAGAUAUGGCGGGUCGACUGGAGUUGGGAUGAAAGGAGGGAUAAGAAAUGCCUUUUGCUUUAUCACGGGUCGAACGAUUGCGUUUUAUUUUUGUUAUAUCGCUUACUUGUCUUUCCGAA
rnacentral:lncRNA from 1 species